GGAAUGUGAAGGGACCUGUCCGCGAAGGUGACAUUCUCACGUUGCUCGAGUCUGAGCGUGAAGCGAGAAGACUUCGCUAGUUAUAUUUUCUUGUUCCUUCCCAACUCCCAUCGUUGUGGUUUCUUCUCUUUAUCCCUGCAUGAUAGAACAAAUGCUAUUACUUGACUUCUAUUGUCUUUUAUUUCAGAUGUUGGGUGUGUUUGAUUGAGCUCUUUUGCCAUGACAAAUG
rnacentral:misc_RNA from 1 species